GCUCCGGUGGCCUAGUGGUUUGAGUGUCCACCUUGGAUGUGGGAGGUCAUGGGUUCGAUAUCCGGCCGAGUCA